UGAAGUUGUUGCCUUCUCUUCCCGGUUCUUCCUGGAGUCGGGAGAAGCUGGGUUGAGAUGGCCAAAGAAAAAAAAC
rnacentral:pre_miRNA from 1 species